rnacentral:lncRNA from 1 species
AUGGACGGCACUUCCAGGCGGCAGUUCCAAGAGAUAUACCACUGAACCAAUCAGCUCCAGCACAGGGUAUGGUCCAAAGUAUUUGAAUUCCAGUUUCAGACAAGGCGUGUUCACCGCUGAACAUUAAGCAUUAGGCUGCAGUUUGUGCAAUACCUUCCCACCCACUUUAAUGGUUUCCUCUGAUCGAUGCUUGUCAGCUUGCAUUUUUGUUUUGUUCUGUGCAUUGGCCAGAUGCCCCUUUCGUCAGUCCAGUUGCACUUGACAUUCCGCCACAAUUUUGUCAGCUUCAGUUGAUGUUGCCAGCUGCACUUAACGUUCUGCCACAAUUUUUACCUUUAUUAAGUACUCCCUUCAUAAAGAAAUAUAAGAGUGUUUAGAUCACUACUUUAGUGAUCUAAACGUUCUUAUAUUUCUUUACGGAGGGAGUAACAAAUUAUGAUUGAGUUGUCAAAGUGUUGUUUUUUAGGCUUUUUCUGGAGCUAGUGAUUAGCCUGCUGAAGUUUUUCUUCUCUGCCCCCUGCCCUUCUGUCUCUCUCGCCAUGCAUAUGCUCUCUCUCUUGUAAAUUAUCUAUUUUAAUAAAAUGUAUUUACUGGCAGGGCCUCGCCUACAGUUUCCCCUAAAAAUUUGUUGUUUUUUUAUGCCACGCAGUCUAGAAAGAUGGCAUGUAUUUUGUACCGAAGGAAGUUGUAAAAUUAUAUUUCAAAUGAUUUGGUAAGCUAGAUGGUUCCACAUUUGCCUCUUUAGGAGUUAUUUGAACCAUUGGUCUCUUGGCCUCUACUGAGAGAAGAUGGCGAAAAUGAUCGGGAAUGUGCUGACAGUAGAAGUUGAAAGUGUUUUUGGUAGAAUUUCUCUGUAUAUUUCUGUUCCUUUCCAAAGGUGCUGAGAUGAUUCAACUUUAGUGUUUUUGGUAGAAUUUCCUUUAUGGUGAAGCUAAUUUUUACUGUUUGAAUCAUAAAAAGUGUUGAGGUUGCAUAACCUGCACUCUUUUCCAUGGAUUAGUAGUACAAAAUGGUUUGCCUAAUGACAUUGGUUGCUCCACAGGUACCUAGAGUUGUAUUCUGGCUACUGAGAUGCAGGAAUUUUCUUCUUUGCUGUGGGUCCGUCCAUUUUGUACGCUUCAGACGGAGAUAUCGACCCCCUAUGUUGCAUGCAUGGUCAACUGGGAAGUGGAAUUGUAGGAUUAAUCGUUCAUUGCUAACUACCUCUGUUAUGUAAAUUCUAGGCGCAAUUAGCCAACUGGCUUGUUGAAGAUACACACUUGCUUCGGUUAAUUAGCGUUUGGGGUACAUCUGCUUUAUGGUCUCCAAGCAAGCUUGCCUGCCUGAUGAUCUUGGCUAAUGUCAUGUGUGUGUUCACCGUCUCUCUGUUUCCGUUUGAUUAUGUUCCAUGUUGUAAUAGGUCUGGAUAUUUGAUUUGACGUAAUAUUCUUGCUUAUGUCCAUUGUGUGCG